rnacentral:ribozyme from 1 species
AAAAUAUGCACGAAGGAAUUAAGUAUCAGAAAAAAAUCAGAAAGAAGCAAGGGUACGUGAAUGCAUUGAUUCUUUUUUUAACAUCCAUUGCGUUAUCAUUUGUAUUUUUCUUUUCAUGACAUUUUUCGUCAUGCAAAUCUUUCACACUCU